GGAGAUCAAAGCUCCUGUCAGCCCAUAGCCCAUAGCCCAUCGAAGCUCCUGUCAGCCAUCUCUCCGUAGCCGCCCGGGUCUCACUAAGCCUACCUUGCCCCGUCAGGCCUGGGGCGGUGUAGUUUUAACCCUUGAACCAUCAAAAGAAACAGAGAGGAAGGAGGGAGGAAGGGCAAGAAGGAAGAAAGAGAAAGAAACCGGGGCGCGCUUGUGGAAGUCUCCUGCUCGUGGAAGUCUCCUGCUUGUGGAAGUCUCCUGCUUCCAGGGGUGUUAGUGCUUCUGGUAGUUUCGGGGGGCCGAGCCAAAGGCCAGGGGCCAGCGCUGGGGAUGCGUCAGGGAAUCUCAGAAGAGCUUUUGUACCUGACUGCAGCAAACACCCGUGAGCGCUCACCACUUUCCGAUGGUUGCCGUGUCAACAGCAGCAUCCUCUCUCCGUCUGGCUUGCGGGACAUCCUUGGCGAGCCUCCCCAGACCGCGCGCUCAGGGCAUGACGAUGGGCGCCCCGUCUCUUGCCGGGAGGAAUGCUUCGCUCAUGAACACGUCCUGAUUACAAUCCCAAGCCGCAGAGGAUCCAGGAAGGACAACUACUUUCCGGUUUUCGGUGAGCAAGCCGAGCCUCCAGGCCGUAUCUGGUAGAUAUCUUCGGGAAUACUUUCUUCGGCAUCUUCCUUUGACUAGAGAGACACGCUGCUUUGCCUUCAAAAGGACUUUUAUGAGCCAGAUGUUCAACUCAUAUUGUAUUUUGUGACUUUGGAAGGAGGUCUGAACACCUGGACAAAUGCGAGGAGGAGGAAACGUUUUAAAAAACGGUAACAAAAUGCCCGACUUGUACAAUCCAUUGUGAGCCUGCGAGGCACCCGGGUUUGAUGAGUCCUCCAUUGUUAGAUCAAACAAAGGGGAAAAAACUUGCUUUGUCUUUGUCACUAAUGAGCUAUUUCUAUACAGCUGGAGUCUUUUUAAAGACCUCAAAGAAACCACACUUUAUAAAAAAUGCUAUGUUGCGUGUACUUAAAAAAGAAGAACAAGCAAGAAUCCAUUGUUUGAAAGACACUGAAAAUACAUUCAUUCUCAAAAUUCUUCCAAUUCAGGAGUGAAUCCCAGUCCAGAUUAAGUCCUAGGUCUGAACAGUUCAGUGGGACUGUUCUGUGACUAUAAAUGCUACGGUCGCCAUCAGCGGAGAGAUAAAAUUUUAAGUAGGGGCUGUGUUUUGUCCACUCUGCACUCCUAGUUUCCUUCCCCUGCAUGACCUUGUUAUCUCCAUCUAGUAAAGAUCGAGUUCAGAAAACACUUUCACAACGAGAUGGAAAAGAGCAGGUAGUUGGAGCUCAGCAGAGGACGUGCACUUGAACCGAAUGUAAAGGAGUAAAUGCCCAUCGGGGAUGGAGGACUUUGGGGAGGGGAGGAGGGAAGCAUGGGGACAGCGAUCCUUUCUCGCCUGCUGUUGGGCAGCAUCAAGGGACGAGUAGAGGUGACACCCACCAGCACUGCCCAAGGGGUGGUCGGGAUGGGGUGUGGCCACAAUCCUCACAGACACUGGUUUUCAGAGCACUGUGCUUCCCAGUCCUUCUGGGACGGAGCACCUAGUCGUAUGUCCGAUCUAGAUAUUUUAGGAAAAAAAAAAAAAAUGGAGUUAAUAACCUCCCAACUCCUCUUCUGAUUUCUGGGCUUUGUGUGCAUGUGUGCAUACCUCAAUGUAGCAAGUCUGGCUCAUCUGUUUCUGCCCCUUGAGUAGAAAAGAAAGCCUGUGCAUAGAUGUCAGAGAAAGACCCGCUGAGACAAAGGGCGGAGACAGUUACGAACGAAUUACCAGCAAACACGUUACCAGCAGUUACAAACCUGACCUCCAGACUGCUUGAGUCCAAGUCUUAACUCUUCAUUUUUUAGCUGUGUGACCUGGGGCAAGUUAAUUAAAUUUUCUGUGCUUUAGUUUCUCUGCCGGUACAAUGCGGAACAAACUCGUACUGACGUCUCAUGGUUGUGAGUCACUUACGUGAAGUAUAUAGAAUGUUGUCGGGGACAUAGGAAGCAUUGUGUAUGUACUAAUAAUAACAGUUAAAAAUUAUUGUGAUAUUAUUAUUAAGGGAGGCCUCAGAUUGUAAAGUCCAACAUUUUAAUUGCUUUCUCUCUAGGAUCCUCAUUCCCUUUCCCCUCUGCUGUAUCCUCCGGCAAUGGCCCAGCACUAGAGGAACCCAGCUGCCCUACUCUGGGCUCCUGGGCUCUGCCAGAGAGACCAUCACAGUUCAGGAAGUCUGUGUCACUACACGUUUAUGAGCACCGAUCUCAGCAGGGCUCUAAAGCCUCCCAGAAUUCUGUUCCCCAUCCUCACUCUUCACGAGCGCGGUCUCACCUCGCUCAGUCUCCUCCAGCCCCCAGCUCCUUCACUCCUUCUCAGUCGAUAAGAGAUGUGAGGAUGAACCCCCCUGACUGGGUCGCCACAUCUACAAACCACUCAGCAUCCCUUACACUGGACGAAAUACCCUUUCUUCUUCUAUUGGUUCCUUUUCCUACCCACAUGUAGAGAAGUUCAGGUUUAUCACACACACACACACACACACACACACACCCUCCUUUCCUUCGUCCCAUGCCACCUUUCCAUCAAGGCUCGAGCAACUGCACCCUACUUGUUCAUAACCAAACUUUGUAAAGAACUGUCUACAUUUGCUAUUUAUAUUUCUUCACCAGGGAUAGGGAUAAACCUUAUCCUUGGGCUUCCCCACCACUGAAACUACUCUGCUACUCUGGCCUAAAUUCCCAAUGUCCUACAUGUCUUGAAAUCUCAAGGAUAUUUUGGUUGUCUUGCUUUCUUUAAAAAAAAAAAGAAA